GACGAACGCUGGCGGCGUGCUUAACACAUGCAAGUCGAACGGAAAGGCCUGCUUUCCCUUGUGUAUUGCGGGUACUCGCGUGGCGAACGGGUGAGUAACACGUGACUGAUCUGCUCGCAACUUUGGAAGAAGCUUGGGAAAAUGGGUCUAAUUCCCGCUAGGUCUGUAGGGUGGUGCGUGUGGUUGAAAACGAUGGUCUAGUGGUUGGGGAUGAGCUCGCGGCUUAUCAGCUUGUUGGUGGGGUAGUGGCCUACCAAGGCGGCGACGGGUAGCCGGCCUGAGAGGGUGAACGGCCACAUUGGGACUGAGAUACGGCCCAGACUCCUACGGGAGGCAGCAGUGGGGAAUAUUGCACAAUGGGCGGAAGCCUGAUGCAGCAACGCCGCGUGCGGGAUGACGGCCUUCGGGUUGUAAACCGCUUUCGCCUGUGACGAAGCGUGAGUGACGGUAAUGGGUAAAGAAGCACCGGCUAACUACGUG
rnacentral:rRNA from 1 species